rnacentral:rRNA from 1 species
GAAUCUACCCCGAACCCUAGGAUAAGCCCUCCGAAAGGAGGGCUAAGACUGGAUAGGGUCCCCGAGGUACAGGCUGCUGGGGGGGAAAACGGGGCCUCUGAUGUAUGCUCGUGGUGCGGGAUGAGCUUGCGGCCCAUUAGCUAGUUGGUAGGGUAAUGGCCUACCAAGGCGACGAUGGGUAGCUGGUCUGAGAGGAUGAUCAGCCACACUGGCACUGAGACACGGGCCAGACUCCUACGGGAGGCAGCAGUGGGGAAUUUUGCGCAAUGGGCGAAAGCCUGACGCAGUAACGCCGCGUGGAGGAUGAAGGCCUUCGGGUUGUAAACUCCUGUCAGGGGGAACGACGGGGAGAGGGGGACAACCCCUGUCCGCCAGACGGUACCUCCAAAGGAAGCCCCGGCUAAUUCCGUGCCAGCAGCCGCGGUAA